UACGGAGGGGGCGAGCGUUAUUCGGAAUUAUUGGGCGUAAAGGGCGCGUAGGCGGCUGUACAAGUCAAAGGUGAAAUCCCUCGGCUCAACUGAGGAACUGCCUUUGAAACUGUACGCUUGAGGCCGGGAGGGGGUAGCGGAAUUCCCAGUGUGGCGGUGAAAUGCGUAGAUACUGGGAGGAACACCGGUGGCGAAGGCGGCCUUCUGGACAGUGACUGACGCUGAGACGCGAAAGCGUGGGGAGCAAACAGG
rnacentral:rRNA from 1 species